GGAGAGGCUUAGAACAGCAGAGCAAAGGCUUAAAGAAUUGAACUGAGAUCUCCACCACCAUCCACAGAUGGAAAGGCAGCAUUUACGACGCGAGUCUAACCAGGUGGUCUUGCGGACGACAGCUCAGCUCUGCCCGCCGCCCAGAUGUCGACAUUCCUACAACAAUGUGUGGCGAUCGCUGCCUCUGGCCUUCCCUGAGGAGCCCCCCAGUCAGGGAGCUGCUGGGAAGAGGGACCCUCUGCCCCUGAGGCCUUUGUGAUUUGGGGGUGGCCUGACCCUGGUUCAUCUGGAGGAAUCAUAACGUUGUCCGGUGGCUUCUCACCGACGGCCAUGCCAUAGAGGGAUCGUUGGACGCAGGCCACAGAAAAUCAUACCAUUGCGACUUGAAGAUGUGGUCCAUUUAUCUAUCAGGCGGGCAGUUUCGGGCUGGCAUGGCAGGACCUCUGUGCCUCCAGGGGCCCAAGCUCCUUCUGCCUUCCUGCCUUCCAGCCCUGGGCACGUGGCUUUGUCCUCAUGGCUGCAACACGGCUGCUGUGCCUCCA